CCUGAUAAGCUUUAGGUCGGUGGUUCGAGUCCACUCGUGCCCAUCA
rnacentral:tRNA from 1 species